GUAUAAUGGGUCAGCGACUUAUAUUCUGUAGCAAGGUUAACCGUAUAGGGGAGCCGCAGGGAAACCGAGUCUUAACUGGGCGUUAAGUUGCAGGGUAUAGACCCGAAACCCGGUGAUCUAGCCAUGGGCAGGUUGAAGGUUGGGUAACACUAACUGGAGGACCGAACCGACUAAUGUUGAAAAAUUAGCGGAUGACUUGUGGCUGGGGGUGAAAGGCCAAUCAAACCGGGAGAUAGCUGGUUCUCCCCGAAAGCUAUUUAGGUAGCGCCUCGUGAACUCAUCUUCGGGGGUAGAGCACUGUUUCGGCUAGGGGGUCAUCCCGACUUACCAACCCGAUGCAAACUACGAAUACCGAAGAAUGUUAUCACGGGAGACACACGGCGGGUGCUAACGUCCGUCGUGAAGAGGGAAACAACCCAGACCGCCAGCUAAGGUCCCAAAGUCACAGUUAAGUGGGAAACGAUGUGGGAAGGCACAGACAGCCAGGAUGUUGGCUUAGAAGCAGCCAUCAUUUAAAGAAAGCGUAAUAGCUCACUGGUCGAGUCGGCCUGCGCGGAAGAUGUAACGGGGCUAAACUGUGCACCGAAGCUGCGGCAGCGACACUAUGUGUUGUUGGGUAGGGGAGCGUUCUGUAAGCCUGCGAAGGUGGCCUGUGAGGGUUGCUGGAGGUAUCAGAAGUGCGAAUGCUGACAUAAGUAACGAUAAUGCGGGUGAAAAGCCCGCACGCCGGAAGACCAAGGGUUCCUGUCCAACGUUAAUCGGGGCAGGGUGAGUCGACCCCUAAGGCGAGGCCGAAAGGCGUAGUCGAUGGGAAACAGGUUAAUAUUCCUGUACUUGGUGUUACUGCGAAGGGGGGACGGAGAAGGCUAUGUUAGCCGGGCGACGGUUGUCCCGGUUUAAGCAUGUAGGCGGAGGU
rnacentral:rRNA from 1 species